CUCCCACACAGCUACUCGUUCCUCUGGUUUGUCCAGUGCAUCUUAAAGCUCAUAAGCUCUGUAAAACAUCAUGUACCGGAUGUGUAGAGCAGACCCUGACCUAGUAAGCUCCCUUGUCAUUGCUGCAGUACAAACAUUAUUAAUAAUAGCAAAACAAAACAAAUCAAAAACACAAAUUUUACAUUCAUCUUUAUUAACGUUCAUUGCCAAAGAUUUCUAACAGUCAUGAGUUACAGAAAAAAAUCUUCCAUCUAAUUUCAGUGUUCACAGAUGAGUAACUGCUAGAGAGUAAUAAUAUCCAUUACUAAAUGAGGAUGAGGAAGAGGAAAGUUAUUACUGAGUUAAAAUGAGUAACAAUGAACUCCAUUUUUAAAUAAAGCACUAACUACACAGAUGAUCACUGGUUUUUCCUGGACUUGUACCAUGACAGAAGUUCUUGGGCCUACAUCUUGAGGCAGAUCCCUCACAGUCAUCAGUCAUAUCUUCCACACUGAUUAAGUGGCUGCUGAAAGCUUUUUUGAACUAACUGAAUCCCAGGAGGUCUCCCAGAGAAGACCUCAUCUGAAAGAAGACCUCACUUACACCUUUCCUCCUCUGUGGAUAUGAAAAUACUGGAACAGAAGGAGAAAAGUGGAGGUAUCAGGCUGCGGAAGGUAUUGGUUCCCCUUCCUGCAGCUUAUUUGCCACUACAAGCUGCAGUGAAAAGCCUCCAGCUGCCCCAAAAGCCUCUGGCCCUCUUCCAGGCAGCAACCCAAGUGUCAUAGUAUUAUGAUUUUUUUUUUAUCAGUAUUCCACAUCGUAUACAUAUAACAUGAGCACUGGGAGUUAAAGAGCUAAUACUCUAGUUCCAUGGAUUGUCAAUAGUUCCGGCUAUACCUGUCUCAGAAGAACUACAUAUUCCCAGAGGACUUUUCACUGUUCUGUUUCUUGUUUUCAGAGGGAAAAAUAAAACUUCGCAGGUCAUGAGACA
rnacentral:lncRNA from 1 species